rnacentral:lncRNA from 1 species
GAUAAUUUCAGUCUUCUUUGUCUUAAACAUCUUUGACAAUUAUGUUUAUUAUGUAAACAUGGCUUAAAAAUUAUGGACAAUGGAUAGAUUAAAGACAUUUGAUAUUUUUAAUUCAUACUAACUGUAGAAAUGGCCCUAAAGCAUGCUGCAUAAUUGAUAAUUUAUAUUUUCAUUAUUAUAAAUGUUUAUAUUAAUGAUAUUGCAUUUAAUUGUAUCAAAUUAGUCACCAUUUCAUAGCAACAGUAUUGUUUUCUGUUUUUCUUCUCUAACUUUCUAAAAUUAUAUCCUUCAAUGGGGAUAGAAAUUGUGAUUAAAAGAAUCACAUUUCUUGAUUAUCCCCAUAUGUAAAUUAAUCAUUUUAUCAAUACUAGAGGCCACAUGCUGACUCCCUGGAUACCUACAAUUGGGAAGAAAGUGACAGAUUAUUAUUUCACCUUUAGUUCAAAAUAACAUCACUGCAGUCUGGAGAAAUUAUAAUUUCACAUACUUGAAAUAAAAUCUCUGAAAAGUAUUUAAAUGGUAUCAAACUGCAGAGCAACAGGGCUUCAGUGUAUUCCCACCUGAGUUAAUAUAUACACUUGGAUGUUUUUUCUCACUAACAUAUUAAUGUUAAUAUUUUUUCAGACAUACUGUAAUUUAAAAAUUAAUGUGAACAUUUGUUAUAAGUUCACAGAAAACUUAAUGAUGUUCAAAUUCUCAGGAAUUAAGGACUAACCAUACAUUGUCAGUUCAAAUUAAAUUUUGUAAAGGAUGGCAAGUUUGUUACCUCACUUGAGUGGGGGUUCCCUCUCCCAAUUCUAAGAAAAUACAAUAUGUAUAAUAAAACAUUAAUAAAUAUAAUUUUAAAUUUUUCCUUCCCCUGGAUGUUUAUGUUCAAAAUUGAAUGUCUUGAACCAGUAGUUCUUAACAUUUACCUUUUUGGGUCCCCUUAAAUCAAAUAAAAUAUACGGAAUCCCUCAAAGAAAAAAUGCUUGCAAGCUGUCCAGAGGCAGAAAAUUUCAAGUAUAUAAUGGGAUUGGAUUUUGUCUAUCCCAGGAAAAGAACCUUUGUUUUCUUUCCUUUAUCCAUUCUUGAUCUUUCCAAUAGCUCGAUAUUUUCAAAUAAAACGAAUAACAUGAAUUUAUUUUAAAUCUAAUCCUGGAAAGGGAUCCUAAGUAUGAAGUGCUUAAUAUGUUAGAAAUAUCUAUAAUCCUAUUUACAAACAUGGGUUGAAGUGAAACAGUAAUAAACAAGAGCCUUUUAAAUCUACAUUGGAGGGCAAGAGAUAACAAUCCUGUUAAACAUUAUGCUGGAGAAAUGUCUGAUUACCACCUUUUUUAUUCUGAGGUAUUAAAUUUGUAAAAUUGUGGGAAAGAUAAUACUACCACGUACAUCAUGUUACUUUUUGAUGCUAGUUUUUUUUUUUUUUUUUUUUUUAAUUUUUUAUUGUUGGCUGUUCAAAACAUUACAUAGUUCUUGAUAUAUCAUAUUUCACAAUUUGAUUCAAGUGGGUUAUGAGCUCCCAUUUUUACCCCAUAGUUUUGCUGAAUGUAUGAAUGGUAGACUUUCAUAAUUUGAGGGGAUGGGUACUGGGGAUUGAACUCCGGGGCUCUCCAACACUGAGCCAUAUCCCCAGCCCUAUUUUGUAUCUUUACUUAGACACAGGGUUUCACAGUGUUGCGUAGUGCCUCGCUUUUGCUGAGGCUGGCUUUGAACUUGUGAUCCUCCUGCCUCAGCCUCCUGAGCCACUGGGAUUACAGGUAUGUGCCACCAUGCCUAGCAACUUUAAAAAUCUUGGCACUAUUCUCUUUUCCAGCUUCAGGUUGCAGAAGUUUCAGAUGUCUAUCACCCCGCUACUCCUUGGUAUUGAUGCACCAUUUUAUUAAACUAUUUUCCUGUCAGUGGAGAUUAACAUUAUUUAUUUGGUUUGCCACUAAAGUCAAUGCAAACCACAAUUUACAUAUGCUCUUGGUAUAAGGAUCUUGGAUGUGAUAUUACCCUACUUGCAGGCUACCACAUUUGAUUGCCAUGAUGUCAUGGAUGCUGACCAAAGGGACAAUAAUGCAGGCAAUAUGAGCACCAGCGUAUUUUCAUCAGUCCCCCUUUCCCUUAAAUUCCAUAGGGAAAUGUUUCGUGGAUCCUGACAGAUGCUUUAAUGCCUAGGGGCUUUGUUACUCCUGAAGACCACCGAGUUUAGGAAAUCCAUGACUUAUAUAGCAAAUAGUAAAAAAAAGCCUGCUCUGUGUACUGGAGGAAGAUACUUCAUCCUUCGGGGUUGUUCAUUGCAGUUUUCCCAUCCAGUAUCAGCUCUUCUCUGGCUUAGGGAGAGCUGACAGGUACCUAGAAGUAUCUGUCUGUAUAAAAAUAAUUUUUAAAUAAAGCUUUUAGGUGUUAGGAACAAUUACAUAGGUUUUUAAGAUUUCAGAUAAAAAAGAGGAAUCUAGAAUAAGUGGAAAUCUAUAGAAAUUAGAUUGUACAAGGAACUCUUGAGAUGGUGAUGGCAAAGUUAUAGUUUAUAUAAAAGUAAAUUUUUACAUAUAGUACAGUAUAUAAAAAGUUUGGCCAGUAAGUAGUUUCGCUAUUUUGAUAGCUUACCUCUUCAUUACCACUUAAAACUAAGUGAUCUCUCGAGUUCCCAUUAGUGGAGAUAAAUUUCGCAGGAAUAUAGAUGAAAUUUAUCUUUCCAUUGAUUCAUGUCUGAUGCCAUAAUUCUGGGAUCAUCUUUAAGAACUAAAACAUUGUAUAAUGUAUGUAAGAUAUAUGUAAACUGAAGCAUUCUGUAGUAGUGCCCUCAUUAAGGAGGGGGGAAACUUUUAUACCUAGAAGUGUCUGUUGAUAUAAAAUCAAUUUUAAAGUAUUUAAACAAUUUUUGUAGAAAUAAAGAUACUUUGAUAUAGUUUCAAUCAGAAUAAUCUUCACAGCUUAGUACUAAGAAAUAUUUGGUAAUUGCUUAUCUCUGAGGUCAUAUACAUAACCCAUAGUGGUUAGAAGCAUACACUCCAAGGACAGACUGAUGUGAAUCUUGAUUUGCUGCCUGUGAGGUUAUAUAGGCACAAGAUGGGAUAAGGAGUUCGUGGGAUUUUGAGGAUUAAUUUAUAUAAAACACUUUAUAUUUUACCUUUUAUAUGGCAUAUUGAUUUGUACUCUUAGGUAGAAAUGCAUUUGGUAUAUAAAUGUUAGCUGCUAUUAUCACUCUUUUAGGUGGAGUUUGAAAAGCAGUCUGUAUUUGACUGUGGCGAGUCUAGGUUCUUAGCUCAGUGACUAGGCUAGUUGUAAAUGUGAAGAAGGCCUUGCUCUUCUCUAAAAGCAGUCAUAAGAGGGCAGACUUAUGGGUAUGUGAUGGAGAAAUCCACAUGGAAAUCGAAACUGGUGAGGAUAGCUGGUUUUCUAAAAAGGUUCCAUUUCCUAUACUUCCACCAUUCAUUUGGCACUGAUUAAUUUUCCACAGGGCUUCUAUAUGCAUUAAUACACAAUUCAGUAAGUUGAGAAAAAGGGCAGAUCACCUGGUUUCUAAAUUAAAAUUUUUAUUUAAAAAUAUGUAUGUCCUAUUUAAAGAAUACUACUUGGGAAGUGACGGUGUUGGUUGAACAUUUGUUCCCACUUCCUCAGAGGCUCCCUCCCAGCAUUCCCCCAACUACUGUUCAGGGUUUGGUGGAAAUAGGUCUGUUGCUUUUGUUUAGUUUUAUCACCUUUCUGUAUUUUCCUAAAUUAUGUAGUGUUUUGCAUGUUUAUCCUUACCAUAAAUAGCAUCUUACAUUGUAUGUUUUUAUGACUCUAGUAUGAUUUUUGAAAUGCAUGUUGGUGCAUAGCUAUAUCUUAUUUUUACUUCUCUAAUAUUGUUAGUGAUUGUAGAUGUUUAACCUACUGUACCAUUGAUGACACUGGGAUACUAUUGAACAUUCUUGCUGUAAUCACUGUUGUACAUGUCCUAGAGCAUGUGUUGAAACUGGUAAGUGGUGGGACAGGCACACUUUCAAAUUUACUAUAGACUGUCACACUGUUCUCUCAUUUCAGCGGUGGGUUAGACUCCCCAUUGCUCCUUUCCCUUCCAACAGCUAAAUAUUUGCAGUCUGUGGUUUUAAUUUGCACUUUCUAUUAUGAGAGAAUGAGCACAAUUCUGUUUGAGUCCUUUGUAGUUUUUAAUCUAUGAAAUGCUUUCAUGACUUUGC